CUAGCCUUGACAUAUAUUAGAACUCCGCAGAGAUGCAGAGGUGCCUUCGGGAGCUUUUAUACAGGUGCUGCACGGCUGUCGUCAGCUCGUGUCGUGAGAUGUUGGGUUAAGUCCCGCAACGAGCGCAACCCUCGUCACUAGUUACUAACGGUUCGGCCGAGGACUCUAGUGAGACUGCCUUCGUAAGGAGGAGGAAGGUGAGGACGACGUCAAGUCAUCAUGGCCCUUACGGCUAGGGCAACACACGUGCUACAAUGGCCAGGACAAUGAGACGCAAUACCGCGAGGUGGAGCAAAUCUAUAAACCUGGUCUCAGUUCGGAUUGUAGUCUGCAACUCGACUACAUGAAGCUGGAAUCACUAGUAAUCGUAGAUCAGCUAUGCUACGGUGAAUACGUUCCC
rnacentral:rRNA from 1 species